rnacentral:piRNA from 1 species
UGAUAGUCUUCUGGCACAAUACGUAAUUGA